UACGGAGGGUGCAAGCGUUGUCCGGAAUCACUGGGCGUAAAGGCUCGUAGGCGGCCAACUAAGUCGGAUGUGAAAUCCCCAGGCUCAACUUGGGAACUGCAUCCGAUACUGGAUGGCUUGAAUUCGGGAGAGGGAUGCAGAAUUCCAGGUGUAGCGGUGAAAUGCGUAGAUAUCUGGAGGAAUACCGGUGGCGAAGGCGGCAUCCUGGACCGACGAUUGACGCUGAGGAGCGAAAGCUAGGGGAGCAACGGG
rnacentral:rRNA from 1 species